GGCACACAGGUGUGGUGCUGGACGCGUGGAGAUAAAUCAGAAUUGUGGUCCUUACACCGAUAUUCACUCUGGAGGCCUCCAUGUCCUGAAUGUGCCUUGCUUUUGCUGCUGGGGCCUGCCUUUGAAGAUUUUCCUUUUUUUUUUUGCUUUUUCUUCUUCUUUUUUUUUUUUUUUUCUUUUUCCAUCUGCACACAUGGCAUAUGGAAGUUCCCAGGCUAGGGGUCGAAUCGGAGCUGUAGCUGCAGGCCUAUACCACAGCCACAGCAAUGUGGGAUCUGAGCUGUGUCUGUGAACUACACCACAGCUUACAGCAACACCGGCUCCCCGGCCCACUGAGCAAGGUUAGGGAUUGAACCCACUUCCUCAUGGAUACUAACUGGAUUUGUUCCCACUGUGCCACAGUGGGAACUCCUGAAGCUUUUUCUAAUGGUCACUGUCGUGAGUCUUACUGCUGCCAUGUAUAUUGGUCCCUCUUGGUGCCCUGGAGCUGUCCUCCAGGUACAGAGCACAGCUGAGCUCUCCAGAGAGUCUAGGAAACCAAAGCCAAGCUGAGAUCCCUAUAAAGGUGGAAGUCUCUGCCCCUUUUGGCCUAACUUUGGGGUGCAGACAGCCCUGCUUUCGGCCCUGUGUAGCAAUGUCUGCCAGAACUCCUAUGGUAAAGAAAACAGCUGUGGUAAAGAGACUUGAAAGAUGGCUGCCCUCAACUCCCCUCCCUGAAAGCACCUGCUGCCUGUCACAUCAAGCUUGGAGUCCAGUCCCCUACCCUUUGAAUCUGGGCUGGCCCUAGUGACUUCCUAGCAGCAGAAUGUAUCCAAGAGCAUGUCCCGGGACUUCUGAGACUAGGUCAUAAUAAGGCUUGCCACUGCUACCUGGGUCUCUUGCAAAGCUCAUUCUCAGCUACUUCUUCUCAGAACCCAACUACCUGUGAUGAGAAGCCUUACAGAGAGAGGGUCCACAUGUAGGUGCUCCAGUUGACAGUCCCAUCUGAGGGCACAGUCAGCACCAACUGCCAGGCAUGGGAAUGUGCCAUCUUGGGUUUCCAGAGUCCAGCCUCCGGUGACUCCAGCCCAAACCACCAUUGGACUGCAGCCACUUAAGAGACCCUGAGAGAGAAUGGCCCAGUUAGCCAUGGAUGAAAAUGGUACAUUCUGUUCUAAACCACUAAAUUUUGGGGUAGUUCACUCUCUUUAGACAGCAAAACCUUCUCUCUCUUGGCUUAGAUAUAUUCUGAGUCCCCCAGGAACUGAGUGAUAGACGUCCUGCCUUCCUUAGAGCAGCCCCGCCCUGCCUAUACAUGAGCCUCGUGUCUCUGUUAAGCUUGUCUGCUUGGCCCCUCCCUCCUGGUGCUGACUUCCCUCCCAGGACAAUUCCACUGGACUCGUCCCAUCAUUCCACCCAUCAUGCCUCAGUCCCAAGGGGAAAUAUUGCUUAAGCUCCAGCUGGGAACUCUGUAUGUGUAAACAAAGAGUUUACUGUAUAUGCAAUUGUACUUAUUAAAUUCUUGUUUCAUUUAGUGUUGUGUUGCAGCAAUGAUGUCAUUAAAAAUUCCACAGAAUUAAUAUUCCAUCAUUUGAAUUUAUAUCAUUGUCAUUUACCUGUUUUUGGAAAAUUGCUCCUCUCUCUCUUUUUUUUUCCUUAAAUUCUAAAAUAAAGGCUGAGGUGAAUAUCUUUGUCC
rnacentral:lncRNA from 1 species